UUUAGAUUAUUAAUAGAUAUAGUCUUUAAAUUCGAAGAAUUUGGCGGUGGAUUAGACUUGUUAGAGGAACCUGUUUUUUAAUCGAUAUACCACGCAGAAUCUUACUUACUUUAUUAGUUUGUAUACCGUCAUUAUCAGAUGAUUUUUAUAGAACAAAUUGUUAAAAUUUAAAUAGAUAAAAAUUAACUUAGAUCAAGGUGCGGCUUAUAAGUAAGCUAAAAUGGGUUACAAUAAAAUUUAUUUACUAUGAAUUAACUAGAAGAAAUAAUAUUAUGAAGGAGGAUUUAAUUGUAAUUAAAGUUUAAUAAGCUUUAAAGAUAUAAGCUCUAAACCAU
rnacentral:rRNA from 1 species